rnacentral:rRNA from 1 species
UACGUAGGGUGCGAGCGUUAAUCGGAAUUACUGGGCGUAAAGCGUGCGCAGGCGGUUUUGUAAGUCAGUUGUGAAAGCCCCGGGCUCAACCUGGGAAUUGCAUUUGAAACUGCAAGGCUAGAGUGUGUCAGAGGGGGGUAGAAUUCCACGUGUAGCAGUGAAAUGCGUAGAGAUGUGGAGGAAUACCGAUGGCGAAGGCAGCCCCCUGGGCUAAGAUUGACGCUCAGGCACGAAAGCGUGGGGAGCAAACAGG